rnacentral:snRNA from 1 species
GCCUUCGCCUUCGGGCAUUUGGUCAAUUUGAAACGAUACAGAGAAGAUUAGCAUGGCCCCUGCACUAAGGAUGACACGCUCAAUCAAAGAGAAGCUUAACAUUUUU